rfam:Bombyx mori DNA, contig: Bm_scaf33_contig20238, strain: p50T/Dazao, build 2, whole genome shotgun sequence.
UUAACUCAAAUUUGUAUGCAGUUGGAAUAGCGCCCCUAGCGGCAAACGUAGGCAAACGUUUGAACUCCAAACAAAUUUGAGUUA